rnacentral:rRNA from 1 species
UACGUAGGGCGCAAGCGUUUGUCCGGAUUCACUGGGUGUAAAGGGUGCGUAGGCGGGAAGGUAAGUCCGCGGUGAAAUCUCACGGCUCAACCGUGAAACUGCCGUUGAUACUGCUUUUCUUGAGUUCGGGAGAGGUUGAUGGAAUUCCAGGUGUAGCGGUGAAAUGCGUAGAUAUCUGGAAGAACACCAGUGGCGAAGGCGGUCAACUGGCCCGUAACUGACGCUGAGGCACGAAAGCGUGGGGAGCGAACAGG